rnacentral:rRNA from 1 species
UGGAAAGAUGAAUCAAAGAAGGUAAUAAUCCUGUAGUCGAAAAUGUUGUCUCUCUUGAGUGGAUCCUGAGUACGACGGAGCACGUGAAAUUCCGUCGGAAUCUGGGAGGACCAUCUCCUAAGGCUAAAUACUCUCUAGUGACCGAUAGUGAACCAGUACCGUGAGGGAAAGGUGAAAAGCACCCCGGAAGGGGAGUGAAAUAGAACCUGAAACCGUGUGCUUACAAGUAGUCAGAGCCCGUUAAUGGGUGAUGGCGUGCCUUUUGUAGAAUGAACCGGCGAGUUACGAUUUGAUGCAAGGUUAAGCAGUAAAUGUGGAGCCGUAGCGAAAGCGAGUCUGAAUAGGGCGUUUAGUAUUUGGUCGUAGACCCGAAACCAGGUGAUCUACCCUUGGUCAGGUUGAAGUUCAGGUAACACUGAAUGGAGGACCGAACCGACUUACGUUGAAAAGUGAGCGGAUGAACUGAGGGUAGCGGAGAAAUUCCAAUCGAACCUGGAGAUAGCUGGUUCUCUCCGAAAUAGCUUUAGGGCUAGCCUCAAGUGAUGAUUAUUGGAGGUAGAGCACUGUUUGGACGAGGGGCCCCUCUCGGGUUACCGAAUUCAGACAAACUCCGAAUGCCAAUUAAUUUAACUUGGGAGUCAGAACAUGGGUGAUAAGGUCCGUGUUCGAAAGGGAAACAGCCCAGACCACCAGCUAAGGUCCCAAAAUAUAUGUUAAGUGGAAAAGGAUGUGGCGUUGCCCAGACAACUAGGAUGUUGGCUUAGAAGCAGCCAUCAUUUAAAGAGUGCGUAAUAGCUCACUAGUCGAGUGACACUGCGCCGAAAAUGUACCGGGGCUAAACAUAUUACCGAAGCUGUGGAUUGUCCUUUGGACAAUGGUAGGAGAGCGUUCUAAGGGCGUUGAAGCAUGAUCGUAAGGACAUGUGGAGCGCUUAGAAGUGAGAAUGCCGGUGUGAGUAGCGAAAGACGGGUGAGAAUCCCGUCCACCGAUUGACUAAGGUUUCCAG